GGCUGGUCCAAGUAUAGUGGUGUUUACUAUUAAUUGAUCACAGCCAGUUACAGAUUUCUUUGUUCCUUCUCCACUCCCACUGCUUCACUUGAUUAGCCUUAA
ensembl:Y_RNA Y_RNA Y RNA